rnacentral:rRNA from 1 species
GGAGCUUGCUUUAUAUAACUUAGCAGCGAACGGGUGAGUAACACGUAGAUAAUCUAUCCUAUACUGGGGGAUAGCCCGAUGAAAGUUGGAUUAAUACCGCAUAUAGCUAUAUAGUUGCAUGAUUAUGUAGUGAAAGAUUUAUUGGUAUAGGAGGAGUCUGCGGCACAUUAGCUAGUAGGUGAGGUAAAGGCUUACCUAGGCGACGAUGUGUAGCCGGUCUGAGAGGAUGAACGGCCACAAUGGAACUGAGACACGGUCCAUACUCCUACGGGAGGCAGCAGUGGGGAAUAUUGCACAAUGGGGGAAACCCUGAUGCAGCAACGCCGCGUGAGUGAAGAAGGUUUUCGGAUUGUAAAGCUCUGUUAGCAGGGAAGAGGAAGGACGGUACCUGCAGAGGAAGCCACGGCUAACUACGUGCCAGCAGCCGCGGUAAUACGUAGGUGGCAAGCGUUGUUCGGAAUAACUGGGCGUAAAGGAUGCGUAGGCGGUUAAACAAGUUAUAUGUUAAAUAUAUAGGCUUAACCUGUAGAAAGCAUAUAAAACUGUUUAACUAGAGUGCAGGAGAGGUAAGUGGAAUUCCUAGUGUAGCGGUGAAAUGCGUAGAGAUUAGGAAGAACACCAGUGGCGAAGGCGACUUACUGGACUGUAACUGACGCUGAGGCAUGAGAGCAUGGGGAGCAAACAGGAUUAGAUACCCUGGUAGUCCAUGCUGUAAACGAUGGGUACUAGGUGUGGGUUGUGAAUAACAAUUCGUGCCGUCGCAAACGCAAUAAGUACCCCGCCU